rnacentral:rRNA from 1 species
GUGAGGAAUAUUGGUCAAUGGGCGAGAGCCUGAACCAGCCAAGUCGCGUGAAGGAAGAAGGAUCUAUGGUUCGUAAACUUCUUUUGCAGGGGAAUAAAGUGCGGGACGUGUCCUGUUUUGUAUGUACCCUGAGAAUAAGGAUCGGCUAACUCCGUGCCAGCAGCCGCGGUAAUACGGAGGAUCCGAGCGUUAUCCGGAUUUAUUGGGUUUAAAGGGUGCGUAGGUGGUUUGAUAAGUCAGCGGUGAAAGUUUGCAGCUUAACUGUAAAAAUGCCGUUGAAACUGUUGGACUUGAGUGUAAAUGAGGUAGGCGGAAUGCGUGGUGUAGCGGUGAAAUGCAUAGAUAUCACGCAGAACUCCGAUUGCGAAGGCAGCUUACUAAGCUACAACUGACACUGAAGCACGAAAGCGUGAGGAUCAAACAGGAUUAGAAACCCCUGUAGUCC